rnacentral:tRNA from 1 species
GGUGUUGUGGCUCAGUGGUAGAGUGCUUACCUAGCAUGCAUGAGGCACUGGGUUUGAUCCUCAGCACUACAA